GGACGCGAGCUGAGCUCGGGCCGAUUACUUGGUGGGCUCCUGGUUUCUGACUAGCUUGGCUCGGCGCGAAGGCCAGACGAGCCUGCUUCCCACCUCCGCUCAGCAUGAAGGACAGACGGGCUCGGCCCGAGCCCAAGCCGCCAUAUGCAGAUAUGCCCGGGGCAGCUAGUAGGCUGGGGCUCGCUCGUCCGCCUUGACGGCUUGACCUGGUGGUGCAGCAGUGCAGCUACACCGGGCAAAGUUCUGGCCGUAUAUAUGUGUCUAUGUGCAGUACGGUCCUGGCCCAAGAAAACCUCCUAACUUCAAUCGAAUCCCCAUCGUUUUCUCGUUAUCUCUUGCCUGACUCGUGGCACUCGCGCUCGUCUGUGGAUAAGUUGACAGAUCGAAUCAAUCGGCUGAUUUUUCGCCGCUCCUCCGCCUUGGGCAGCCAAGCCUUGCGGCUGCACCUCUCUGCCCAGGUAGCAAGCCGGUUCGAGUACUGCUCCUCUUCAAAGCCUACUGCUGUCAUGCAACAUGCAUCGCUGAUCGUCUUGCAGGCUGCAUCGGCGUCGCCGGACAACGGGAGUACGGCACUAGAACUAUUGUCAUCUAGAAAGUAUCCAUCAGGAAGUGAGAAAAGAAAUGAGACGAUGACAUGAUAGAAUCGCAGAAAGAUCCAUGGAUAAAGAUUUGAAGAGUAACACAAGCAUAUCCAACAUAGCAAGAAAUCCAGAUGAGCGGGCAAUAGUAGUUGUUGUGGAAGAAGAAAUUCGUAGAUGAGAUUGAUGCUAAAUAGCAUCAUCAAUUACUUUGCAUCAAGGAAUGUUAGAAUAAUUUUUUACGGUAAUAUGUAUAAACUUUUUCAUAUAAAUGUAACUCUUGAUUCAUCGUUAGUAUUUGUUAGUGAAUAAUUUUUUACGGUAAAUGUAUAAACCUUUUCAUAUAAAUGUAACUCUGGUUUCGUACCGGACCCUUGAAA